UCCAGACUCCUACGGGAGGCAGCAGUGGGGGAUAUUGCACAAUGGGGGAAACCCUGAUGCAGCGACGCCGCGUGGGCGAAGAAGUAUUUCGGUAUGUAAAGCCCUAUCAGCAGGGAAGAAAAUGACGGUACCUGACUAAGAAGCCCCGGCUAACUCCGUGCCAGCAGCCGCGGUAAUACGGGGGGUGCAAGCGUUGUCCGGAAUCAUUGGGCGUAAAGAGUUCGUAGGUGGCACGUUAAGUCUGGUGUUAAAGGCGGAAGCUCAACUUCCGUAGGGCACUGGAUACUGGCGAGCUUGAAUGCGGUAGAGGUAAAGGGAAUUCCUGGUGUAGCGGUGAAAUGCGUAGAUAUCAGGAGGAACAUCGGUGGCGUAAGCGCUUUACUGGGCCGUAAUUGACACUGAGGAACGAAAGUCGGGGUAGCAAAUGGGAUUAGAUACCCUCGUAU
rnacentral:rRNA from 1 species